ACAAUACCGUGAGGUGGAGCAAAACUCAAAAAAUAGAUCUCAGCUCGGACUGUAGGCUGCAACUCGCCUACACGAAGUUGGAAUUGCUAGUAAUCGUGGAUCAGCAUGCCACGGUGAAUACGUUCCCGGGUCUUGUACACACCGCCCGUCACACCAUGGGAGCUGGUAGCACCCGAAGUCAGUAGUCUAACCGCAAGGAGGACGCUGCCGAAGGUGGGAUUAGCGACUGGGGUGAAGUCGUAACAAGGUAUC
rnacentral:rRNA from 1 species